AUUAGGCUUUCUCUACUGUCCUUGAAAACUUUACAUUGAUAUUUAGUGGUUGAAGUUGAAGGGUUUGUUAUGCAGUAGUGGGGUGGCUUGAUUGAGUCAACCCCCUAUGCGGUCCGAAAACUCUUGGGAUUUGAAAAAGUUGAAUUGUUUAUUAUAUUUUGUAUACGAGUUUUAAAAAAU